GAUGAACGCUGGCGGCGUGCCUAAUACAUGCAAGUCGAGCGAACAGAUAAGGAGCUUGCUCCUUUGACGUUAGCGGCGGACGGGUGAGUAACACGUGGGUAACCUACCUAUAAGACUGGGAUAACUUCGGGAAACCGGAGCUAAUACCGGAUAAUAUUUCGAACCGCAUGGUUCGAUAGUGAAAGAUGGUUUUGCUAUCACUUAUAGAUGGACCCGCGCCGCAUUAGCUAGUUGGUAAGGUAACGGCUUACCAAGGCAACGAUGCGUAGCCGACCUGAGAGGGUGAUCGGCCACACUGGAACUGAGACACGGUCCAGACUCCUACGGGAGGCAGCAGUAGGGAAUCUUCCGCAAUGGGCGAAAGCCUGACGGAGCAACGCCGCGUGAGUGAUGAAGGUCUUCGGAUCGUAAAACUCUGUUAUUAGGGAAGAACAUACGUGUAAGUAACUGUGCACGUCUUGACGGUACCUAAUCAGAAAGCCACGGCUAACUACGUG
rnacentral:rRNA from 1 species